GAUGAACGCUAGCGGCAGGCCUAAUACAUGCAAGUCGAACGGUGUAGCAAUACACAGUGGCGCACGGGUGCGUAACACGUAUGCAACCUACCUUACAUUGGGGGAUAGCCUUUCGAAAGGGAGAUUAAUACCGCAUAAGACAGUAACUGGGCAUCCAGUAGCUGUUAAAGAUUUAUCGAUGUAAGCUGGGCAUGCGUCCAAUUAGUUAGUUGGCGAGGUAAUGGCUCACCAAGACGAUGAUUGGUAGGGGAACUGAGAGGUCAAUCCCCCACACUGGCACUGAGAUACGGGCCAGACUCCUACGGGAGGCAGCAGUAGGGAAUAUUGGGCAAUGGGCGCAAGCCUGAUCCAGCCAUGCCGCGUGCAGGAAGAAGCAUCUAUGGUGUGUAAACUGCUUUUGUACGGGAAGAAACACCCCUUCGUGAAGGGACUUGACGGUACCGUAAGAAUAAGGAUCGGCUAACUCCGUGCCAGCCGCCGCGGUAACAC
rnacentral:rRNA from 1 species